rnacentral:lncRNA from 1 species
GUCAUAUAAAGUGUAGGACUAAUGUGUAGAUACCCAAAAGGGUAACCUUAGUUAAUGAUGGGCUAACUAAGGUUACAUAUAUGUAACCAUGUUACAUGCUUGUGACUCUUGAGUUAUGUAACUCUUGAAGUUAUAAAGUGGGGGUUAUGGUUCCCAUAUUAUUGUAAGACAAGACUCUUCUUCCUCCCAUUGAAUCAAGAGCAAAAAUACACCAUUGUUG